rnacentral:misc_RNA from 1 species
AAGUCGUAACAAGGUAACCGUAGGUGAACCUGCGGUUGGAUCAAUAAUGAAAUGUUUCUAACACUGAGAGGUCUCGAGUAUGGCUCUCAAAAGGAGCCUGCUCUUGGUCUCUUUACACCCAUACCUGUUGAACUGUUAUUGAAUGGACUUGACAACUUGGCGCAAGCCAAGAAACUCAAGUUCCAACCCAUUAUAAACAUACAAAGACCUUUUUUUGAAAAGGAGAUGAACCGCGGACUUUGCGUCCAAGGGAAAUUGACUCAUUUAAAGAAAAACAACUUUUGACAACGGAUCUCUUGGCUCUC